rnacentral:rRNA from 1 species
GUGUCAGCAGCCGCGGUAAGACGUAGGGGGCGAGCGUUGUCCGGAAUUAUUGGGCGUAAAGAGCGCGCAGGCGGCCACGUAAGUCGGGUGUGAAAUCCCGGGGCUCAACCCCGGGACUGCAUCCGAUACUGCGUGGCUAGAGGUAGGUAGGGGAGAUCGGAAUUCCUGGUGUAGCGGUGAAAUGCGCAGAUAUCAGGAGGAACACCGGUGGCGAAGGCGGAUCUCUGGGCCUUACCUGACGCUCAGGCGCGAAAGCUAGGGGAGCGAACAGGAUUAGAAACCCCCGUAGUCC